UUUCCGUAGGUGAACCUGCGGAAGGAUCAUUAUCGAAAUACUUAUUUAGCGUUCCGUGCUAUCCCAUUGUUUUAUUUACCCUGUUGCUUCCACUGGAUGAGUUUCCAUACCUUGUGUUUGAGAAACUUUGGCUUGUGUAAGAUUCAUUCACGGCCAGCCAGUGAGAAGACCAUUUACAAAACCCUGUUAAGAACCAAUUGUCUGAAUAUUUUACUCCAAUGAAAUAAAACUUUCAACAACGGAUCUCUAGGCUCUUGCGUCGAUGAAGAACGCAGC
rnacentral:misc_RNA from 1 species